rnacentral:rRNA from 1 species
UACGUAGGGUGCGAGCGUUGUCCGGAAUUACUGGGCGUAAAGAGCUCGUAGGUGGUUUGUCGCGUUGUUCGUGAAAACUCACAGCUUAACUGUGGGCGUGCGGGCGAUACGGGCAGACUGGAGUACUGCAGGGGAGACUGGAAUUCCUGGUGUAGCGGUGGAAUGCGCAGAUAUCAGGAGGAACACCGGUGGCGAAGGCGGGUCUCUGGGCAGUAACUGACGCUGAGGAGCGAAAGCGUGGGGAGCGAAUGGG